rnacentral:rRNA from 1 species
GACGAACGCUGGCGGCGUGCUUAACACAUGCAAGUCGAACGGAAAGGCCCUGCUUGCAGGGUACUCGAGUGGCGAACGGGUGAGUAACACGUGGGUGAUCUGCCCUGCACUUCGAGAUAAGCUUGGGAAACUGGGUCUAAUACCGGAUAGGAGCCAUCUUUAGUGUGGUGGUUGGAAAGUUUUUUCGGUGUAGGAUGAGCUCGCGGCCUAUCAGCUUGUUGGUGGGGUAAUGGCCUACCAAGGCGGCGACGGGUAGCCGGCCUGAGAGGGUGUACGGCCACAUUGGGACUGAGAUACGGCCCAGACUCCUACGGGAGGCAGCAGUGGGGAAUAUUGCACAAUGGGCGCAAGCCUGAUGCAGCGACGCCGCGUGGGGGAUGAAGGCCUUCGGGUUGUAAACUCCUUUCGCUAGGGACGAAGCUUUUUUGUGACGGUACCUAGAUAAGAAGCACCGGCUAACUACGUG